AGGAGGAUUGAGAAGGUAAGACAGUUAUUUCGUACUGGUUCUUACUGGUUAUGGCCUCCAAGAUUAAAAUGGUGCAAAUCAGCCCAUGUUCUCUCUCCUGAUUUGAGGGGAAACAAUACUGCAUUUGCACAUAUAGU
rfam:Alligator mississippiensis ScZkoYb_128, whole genome shotgun sequence.